CAGAUAGUAAUUUAUCUUAAAAUAUUGACCUUGGACGUCAACAAUCGUAUCACACGUUAUCUG
rnacentral:tRNA from 1 species